AGAGUUUGAUCCUGGCUAAGGAUGAACGCUAGCGGCGGGCCUAAUACAUGCAAGUCGAACGGGAUUGAAGGUAGCAAUACUGACAUGAGAGUGGCGCACGGGUGCGUAACACGUAUGUAACCUGCCUUAAACUGGGGCAUAGCUUCGAGAAAUCGAAAUUAAUACCCCAUAACAUUUAGAAAAGGCAUCUUUUCUUUAUCAAAGCUCAGGCGGUUUAAGAUGGACAUGCGGUGCAUUAGCUAGUUGGUGAGGUAACGGCUCACCAAGGCUACGAUGCAUAGGGGGUCUGAGAGGAUGAUCCCCCACACUGGUACUGAGACACGGACCAGACUCCUACGGGAGGCAGCAGUAGGGAAUAUUGGGCAAUGGACGCAAGUCUGACCCAGCCACGCCGCGUGAAGGAUGACUGCCCUAUGGGUUGUAAACUUCUUUUGUAUGGGAAGAAACCUUCGAACGUGUUCGAAGCUGACGGUACCAUAAGAAUAAGGAUCGGCUAACUCCGUGCCAGCCGCCGCGGUAAUAC
rnacentral:rRNA from 1 species